AUAUUUGAAGUGUUUGGUUAUGUUUUUAUAUAUAAUAUCGACCAAAUUAAAGUGUCAACGUAUAAGAAAACAUAUAAACAUACCAGAACUUAAAAAUUUCGAAAUUCAAAACUCGAGCGUUGGUAAUAAGUAGAUAAUUGGUUGCAAAGUGCGACUGUGUUCUGUUGUCGUCGCAAAAACGUUGCACCUAGCGACUGUUUUGUGACGUUUAUGAAACAUUUUACAAAUAAAAAUGCUCGUUAGUACCUAUUCGGUCGCACAAUAUUUACUCGAGAAACACUUAAUAAAUUUAACAAAAUUUUAAAACGUUGUACAAUCGUCGCAAUUUAGUUACAAAACAGUUACACAAACGUUGCAACGUGCGACUGUGUUCUGCUGUCGUCGCAAAAAAGUUGCACAAAGCGACUGUUUUAUGACAUUUUGGAAUAGGUCACAAGACAAACUUUUGAAAUUCACAUAGUUCGAUCCAUUCUAUAGAUAAACAUUACUGAAAAACAACCAUUUUAGUACAUCAAGAACUUUAGGUAUACAAAUGAUUGGUUUCAAACUUAUUUGAGAACUUGUUUGAAAAGAUCAAUCAUGAAAAUGAAUUCACAUGAACCUUAUCAUGUAGAUUAAGUUUUUUGGAAUGUUUGGUUUGUAAUAUUCAGAUUUGAAGUGUUUGGUUAUGUUUUUAUAUAUAAUAUCGACCAAAUUAAAGUGUCAACGUAUAAGAAAACAUAUAAACGUACGAAAACUUAAAAAUUUCGAAACUCAAAACUCGAGCGUUGGUAAUAAGUAGCUAAUUGGUUGCAAUGUGCGACUGUGUUCUGUUGUCGUCGCAAAAACGUUGCACCUAGCGACUGUUUUGUGACAUUUUUGAAACAUUUUACAAAUAAAAAUGCUCGUUAGUCCCUAUUCGGUCGCACAAUAUAUACUUGAGAAACACUUAAUAAAUUUAACAAAAUUUUAAAACGUUGCACAAUCGUCGCAAUUUAGUCACAAAACAGUUACACAUACGUUGCAACGUGCGACUGUGUUCUGCUGUCGUCGCAAAAAAGUUGAACAAAGCGACUGUUUUGUGACAUUUUGGAAUAGGUCACAAGACAAACUUUUGAAAGCCACAUAGUUUGAUCCAUUCUAUAGAUAAACAUUACUGAAAAACAACCAUUUUAGUACAUAAAGAACUUUAGGUUUACAAAUGAUUGGUUUAAAACUUAUUUAAGAACUUGUUUGAAAUGAUCAAUCAUGAAAAUAAAUUCACAUGAACCAUAUCAUGUAGAUUAGGUUUUUUUGAAUGUUUGGUUUGUAAUAUUCAGAUUUGAAGUGUUUGGUUAUGUUUUUAUAUAUAAUAUCGACCAAAUUAAAGUGUCCACGUAUAAGAAAACAUAUAAACGUACCAGAACUUAAAAAUUUCGAAAUUCAAAACUCGAGCGUUGGUAAUAGGUAGCUAAUUGGUUGCAAAGUGCGACUGUGUUCUGUUGUCGUCGCAAAAACGUUGCACCUAACGACUGUUUUGUGACAUUUUUGAAACAUUUUACAAAUAAAAAUGCUCGUUAGUCCCUAUUCGGUCGCACAAUAUUUACUCGAGAAACACUUAAUAAAUUAAACAAAAUUUUAAAACGUUGCAAAAUCGUCGCAAUUUAGUCACAAAACAGUUACAAAAACGUUGCAACGUGCGACUGUGUUCUGCUGUCGUCGCAAAUAAAUUGCACAAAGCGACUGUUUUGUGACAUUUUAGAAUAGGUCACAAAACAAACUUUUGAAAUCCACAUAGUUUGAUCCAUUCUAUAGAUAAACAUUACUGAAAAACAACCAUUUUAGUACAUAAAGAACUUUAGGUAUACAAAUGAUUGGUUUCAAACUUAUUUGAGAACUUGUUUGAAAAGAUCAAUCAUGAAAAUGAAUUCACAUUAACCUUAUCAUGUAGAUUAGGUUUUUUUGAAUGUUUGGUUUGUAAUAUUCAGAUUUGAAGUGUUUGGUUAUGUUUUUAUAUAAAAUAUCGACCAAAUUAAAGUGUCCACGUAUAAGAAAACAUAUAAACAUACCAGAACUUAAAAAUUUCGAAAUUCAAAACUCGAGCGUUGGUAAUAAGUAGCUAAUUGGUUGCAAAGUGCGACUGUAUUCUGUUGUCGUCGCAAAAACGUUGCACCUAGCGACUGUUUUGUGACAUUUUUGAAACAUUUUACAAAUAAAAAUGCUCGUUAGUCCCUAUUCGGUCGCACAAUAUUUACUCGAGAAACACUAAAUAAAUUUAACAAAAUUUUAAAACGUUGCACAAUCGUCGCAAUUUAGUCUCAAAACAGUUACAAAAACGUUACAACGUGCGACUGUGUUCUGCUGUCGUCGCAAAAAAAUUGCACAAAGCGACUGCUUUGUGACAUUUUGGAAUAGGUCACAAGACAAACUUUUGAAAUCCACAUAGUUUGAUCCAUUCUAUAGAUAAACAUUACUGAAAAACAACCAUUUUAGUACAUAAAGAACUUUAGGUAUACAAAUGAUUGGUUUCAAACUUAUUUGAGAACUUGUUUGAAAAGAUCUAUCAUGAAAAUGAAUUCACAUGAACCUUAUCAUGUAGAUUAGGUUUUUUUGAAUGUUUGGUUUGUAAUAUUCAGAUUUGAAGUGUUUGGUUAUGUUUUUAUAUAUAAUACCGACCAAAUUAAAGUGUCAACGUAUAAGAAAACAUAUAAACAUACCAGAACUUAAAUAUUUCGAAAUUCAAAACUCGAGCGUUGGUAAUAAGUAGAUAAUUGGUUGCAAAGUGCGACUGUGUUCUGUUGUCGUCGCAAAAACGUUGCACCUAGCGACUGUUUUGUGACGUUUAUGAAACAUUUUACAAAUAAAAAUGCUCGUUAGUCCCUAUUCGGUCGCACAAUAUUUACUCGAGAAACACUUAAUAAAUUUAACAAAAUUUUAAAACGUUGCACAAUCGUCGCAAUUUAGUUACAAAACAGUUACACAAACGUUGCAACGUGCGACUGUGUUCUGCUGUCGUCGCAAAAAAGUUGCACAAAGCGACUGUUUUAUGACAUUUUGGAAUAGGUCACAAGACAAACUUUUGAAAUCCACAUAGUUCGAUCCAUUCUAUAGAUAAACAUUACUGAAAAACAACCAUUUUAGUACAUAAAGAACUUUAGGUAUACAAAUGAUUGGUUUAAAACUUAUUUAAGAACUUGUUUGAAAAGAUCAAUCAUGAAAAUGAAUUCACAUGAACCUUAUCAUGUAGAUUAGGUUUUUUUGAAUGUUUGGUUUGUAAUAUUCAGAUUUGAAGUGUUUGGUUAUGUUUUUAUAUAUAAUAUCGACCAAAUUAAAGUGUCCACGUAUAAGAAAACAUAUAAACGUACCAGAACUUAAAAAUUUCGAAAUUCAAAACUCGAGCGUUGGUAAUAAGUAGCUAAUUGGUUGCAAAGUGCGACUGUGUUCUGUUGUCGUCGCAAAAACGUUGCACCUAGCGACUGUUUUGUGACAUUUUUGAAACAUUUUACAAAUAAAAAUGCUCGUUAGUCCCUAUUCGGUCGCACAAUAUUUACUCGAGAAACACUUAAUAAAUUUAACAAAAUUUUAAAACGUUGCACAAUCGUCGCAAUUUAGUUACAAAACAGUUACACAAACGUUGCAACGUGCGACUGUGUUCUGCUGUCAUCGCAAAAAAGUUGCACAAAGCGACUGUUUUGUGACAUUUUGGAAUAGGUCACAAGACAAACUUUUGAAAUCCACAUAGUUCGAUCCAUUCUAUAGAUAAACAUUACUGAAAAACAACCAUUUUAGUACAUCAAGAACUUUAGGUAUACAAAUGAUUGGUUUCAAACUUAUUUGAGAACUUGUUUGAAAAGAUCAAUCAUGAAAAUGAAUUCACAUGAACCUUAUCAUGUAGAUUAAGUUUUUUGGAAUGUUUGGUUUGUAAUAUUCAGAUUUGAAGUGUUUGGUUAUGUUUUUAUAUAUAAUAUCGACCAAAUUAAAGUGUCAACGUAUAAGAAAACAUAUAAACGUACCAAAACUUAAAAAUUUCGAAAUUCAAAACUCGAGCGUUGGUAAUAAGUAGCUAAUUGGUUGCAAAGUGCGACUGUGUUCUGUUGUCGUCGCAAAAACGUUGCACCUAGCGACUGUUUUGUGACAUUUUUGAAACAUUUUACAAAUAAAAAUGCUCGUUAGUCCCUAUUGGGUCGCACAAUAUUUACUCGAGAAACACUUAAUAAAUUUAACAAAAUUUUAAAACGUUGCACAAUCGUCGCAAUUUAGUCACAAAAUAGUUACACAUACGUUGCAACGUGCGACUGUGUUCUGCUGUCGUCGCAAAAAAGUUGCACAAAGCGACUGUUUUGUGACAUUUUGGAAUAGGUCACAAGACAAACUUUUGAAAGCCACAUAGUUUGAUCCAUUCUAUAGAUAAACAUUACUGAAAAACAACCAUUUUAGUACAUAAAGAACUUUAGGUAUACAAAUGAUUGGUUUAAAACUUAUUUAAGAACUUGUUUGAAAAGAUCAAUCAUGAAAAUGAAUUCACAUGAACCUUAUCAUGUAGAUUAGGUUUUUUUGAAUGUUUGGUUUGUAAUAUUCAGAUUUGAAGUGUUUGGUUAUGUUUUUAUAUAUAAUAUCGACCAAAUUAAAGUGUCCACGUAUAAGAAAACAUAUAAACGUACCAGAACUUAAAAAUUUCGAAAUUCAAAACUCGAGCGUUGGUAAUAAGUAGCUAAUUGGUUGCAAAGUACGACUGUGUUCUGUUGUCGUCGCAAAAACGUUGCACCUAGCGACUGUUUUGUGACAUUUUUGAAACAUUUUACAAAUAAAAAUGCUCGUUAGUCCCUAUUCGGUCGCACAAUAUUUACUCGAGAAACACUUAAUAAAUUUAACAAAAUUUUAAAACGUUGCACAAUCGUCGCAAUUUAGUCACAAAACAGUUACAAAAACGUUACAACGUGCGACUGUGUUCUGCUGUCGUCGCAAAAAAAUUGCACAAAGCGACUGUUUUGUGACAUUUUGGAAUAGGUCACAAGACAAACUUUUGAAAUCCACAUAGUUUGAUCCAUUCUAUAGAUAAACAUUACUGAAAAACAACCAUUUAGUACAUAAAAAACUUUAGGUAUACAAAUGAUUGGUUUCAAACUUAUUUGAGAACUUGUUUGAAAAGAUCAAUCAUGAAAAUGAAUUCACAUGAACCUUAUCAUGUAGAUUAGGUUUUUUUGAAUGUUUGGUUUGUAAUAUUCAGAUUUGAAGUGUUUGGUUAUGUUUUUAUAUAUAAUAUCGACCAAAUUAAAGUGUCAACGUAUAAGAAAAUAUAUAAACGUACCAAAACUUAAAAAUUUUGAAAUUCAAAACUCGAGCGUUGGUAAUAAGUAGCUAAUUGGUUGCAAAGUGCGACUGUGUUCUGUUGUCGUCGCAAAAACGUUGCACCUAGCGAGUGUUUUGUGACAUUUUUGAAAUAUUUUACAAAUAAAAAUGCUCGUUAGUCCCUAUUCGGUCGCACAAUAUUUACUCGAGAAACACUUAAUAAAUUUAACAAAAUUUUAAAUCGUUGCACAAUCGUCGCAAUUUAGUCACAAAACAGUUACACAUACGUUGCAACGUGCGACUGUGUUCUGCUGUCGUCGCAAAAAAGUUGCACAAAGCGACUGUUUUGUGACAUUUUGGAAUAGGUCACAAGACAAACUUUUGAAAUCCACAUAGUUUGAUCCAUUCUAUAGAUAAACAUUACUGAAAAACAACCAUUUUAGUACAUAAAGAACUUUAGGUAUACAAAUGAUUGGUUUAAAACUUAUUUAAAAACUUGUUUGAAAAGAUCAAUCAUGAAAAUGAAUUCACAUGAACCUUAUCAUGUAGAUUAGGUUUUUUUGAAUGUUUGGUUUGUAAUAUUCAGAUUUGAAGUGUUUGGUUAUGUUUUUAUAUAUAAUAUCGACCAAAUUAAAGUGUCCACGUAUAAGAAAACAUAUAAACGUACCAGAACUUAAAAAUUUCGAAAUUCAAAACUCGAGCGUUGGUAAUAAGUAGCUAAUUGGUUGCAAAGUGCGAUUGUGUUCUGUUGUCGUCGCAAAAACGUUGCACCUAGCGACUGUUUUGUGACAUUUUUGAAACAUUUUACAAAUAAAAAUGCUCGUUAGUCCCUAUUCGGUCGCACAAUAUUUACUCGAGAAACACUUAAUAAAUUUAACAAAAUUUUAAAACGUUGCACAAUCGUCGCAAUUUAGUCACAAAACAGUUACAAAAACGUUGCAACGUGCGACUCUGUUCUGCUGUCGUCGCAAAAAAAUUGCACAAAGCGACUGUUUUGUGACAUUUUGGAAUAGGUCACAAGACAAACUUUUGAAAUCCACAUAGUUUGAUCCAUUCUAUAGAUAAACAUUACUGAAAAACAACCAUUUUAGUACAUAGAGAACUUUAGGUAUACAAAUGAUUGGUUUCAAACUUAUUUGAGAACUUGUUUGAAAAGAUCAAUCAUGAAAAUGAAUUCACAUGAACCUUAUCAUGUAGAUUAGGUUUUUUUGAAUGUUUGGUUUGUAAUAUUCAGAUUUGAAGUGUUUGGUUAUGUUUUUAUAUAUAAUAUCGACCAAAUUAAAGUGUCCACGUAUAAGAAAACAUAUAAACGUACCAGAACUUAAAAAUUUCGAAAUUCAAAACUCGAGCGUUGGUAAUAAGUAGCUUAUUGGUUGCAAAGUGCGACUGUGUUCUGUUGUCGUCGCAAAAACGUUGCACCUAGCGACUGUUUUGUGACAUUUUUGAAACAUUUUACAAAUAAAAAUGCUCGUUAGUCCCUAUUCGGUCGCACAAUAUUUACUCGAGAAACACUUAAUAAAUUUAACAAAAUUUUAAAACGUUGCACAAUCGUCGCAAUUUAGUCACAAAACAGUUACAAAAACGUUACAACGUGCGACUGUGUUCUGCUGUUGUCGCAAAAAAAUUGCACAAAGCGACUGUUUUGUGACAUUUUGGAAUAGGUCACAAGACAAACUUUUGAAAUCCACAUAGUUUAAUCCAUUCUAUAGAUAAACAUUACUGAAAAACAACCAGUUUAGUACAUAGAGAACUUUAGGUAUACAAAUGAUUGGUUUCAAACUUAUUUGAGAACUUGUUUGAAAAGAUCAAUCAUGAAAAUGAAUUCACAUGAACCUUAUCAUGUAGAUUAGGUUUUUUUGAAUGUUUGGUUUGUAAUAUUCAGAUUUGAAGUGUUUGGUUAUGUUUUUAUAUAUAAUAUCGACCAAAUUAAAGUGUCCACGUAUAAGAAAACAUAUAAACGUACCAGAACUUAAAAAUUUCGAAAUUCAAAACUCGAGCGUUGGUAAUAAGUAGCUUAUUGGUUGCAAAGUGCGACUGUGUUCUGUUGUCGUCGCAAAAACGUUGCACCUAGCGACUGUUUUGUGACAUUUUUGAAACAUUUUACAAAUAAAAAUGCUCGUUAGUCCCUAUUCGGUCGCACAAUAUUUACUCGAGAAACACUUAAUAAAUUUAAUAAAAUUUUAAAACGUUGCACAAUCGUCGCAAUUUAGUCACAAAACAGUUACAAAAACGUUACAACGUGCGACUGUGUUCUGCUGUCGUCGCAAAAAAAUUGCACAAAGCGACUGUUUUGUGACAUUUUGGAAUAGGUCACAACACAAACUUUUGAAAUCCACAUAGUUUAAUCCAUUCUAUAGAUAAACAUUACUGAAAAACAACCAUUUUAGUACAUAGAGAACUUUAGGUAUACAAAUGAUUGGUUUCAAACUUAUUUGAGAACUUGUUUGAAAAGAUCAAUCAUGAAAAUGAAUUCACAUGAACCUUAUCAUGUAGAUUAGGUUUUUUUGAAUGUUUGGUUUGUAAUAUUCAGAUUUGAAGUGUUUGGUUAUGUUUUUAUAUAUAAUAUCGACCAAAUUAAAGUGUCCACGUAUAAGAAAACAUAUAAACGUACCAGAACUUAAAAAUUUCGAAAUUCAAAACUCGAGCGUUGGUAAUAAGUAGCUUAUUGGUUGCAAAGUGCGACUGUGUUCUGUUGUCGUCGCAAAAACGUUGCACCUAGCGACUGUUUUGUGACAUUUUUGAAACAUUUUACAAAUAAAAAUGCUCGUUAGUCCCUAUUCGGUCGCACAAUAUUUACUCGAGAAACACUUAAUAAAUUUAACAAAAUUUUAAAACGUUGCACAAUCGUCGCAAUUUAGUCACAAAACAGUUACAAAAACGUUACAACGUGCGACUGUGUUCUGCUGUCGUCGCAAAAAAAUUGCACAAAGCGACUGUUUUGUGACAUUUUGGAAUAGGUCACAAGACAAACUUUUGAAAUCCACAUAGUUUGAUCCAUUCUAUAGAUAAACAUUACUGAAAAACAACCAUUUUAGUACAUAAAGAACUUUAGGUAUACAAAUGAUUGGUUUCAAACUUAUUUGAGAACUUGUUUGAAAAGAUCAAUCAUGAAAAUGGAUUCACAUGAACCUUAUCAUGUAGAUUAGGUUUUUUUGAAUGUUUGGUUUGUAAUAUUC
rnacentral:sRNA from 1 species